ACAACUGAAAUUCCGUGAUGAAAAUGCCACUACAAAGACAUAUGCUUAAAGGACCGAAAAGAUGUUCUCUCGGUACCUCUGCGGCUAGAGACUCCUUUUCUUGCUCGAGGCUAUCAAAAUCGAGCUUCAGAGUGUC